rnacentral:rRNA from 1 species
GACGAACGCUGGCGGCGCGCUUAACACAUGCAAGUCGAGCGAUGAAAUUUCGACAGAUCCCUUCGGGGUGAAGAUGAAAUGGAUUAGCGGCGGACGGGUGAGUAACACGUGAGUAACCUGCCUUUGACAUUGGGAUAGCCUCGGGAAACUGGGAUUAAUACCAAAUGACACUAACUGAUCACAUGAUCAAUUAGUCAAAGAAAUUCGGUCAAAGAUGGACUCGCGGCUGAUUAGCUAGUUGGUGAGGUAACGGCCCACCAAGGCGGGGAUCAGUAGCCGGCUGGGGGAGGGGACCGGCCGGGUUGGACCUACGACCCGGACACAUCCCCGAGGGAGGAGAGCGGUGGGGAGAAUUACGGGAUGGGGGAAACCCUGAUGCAGCGACGCGGCGUGAGCGAAGAAGGGCUUCGGGUCGUAAAGCUCUUUUAUGAGGGAAGAUAAUGACGGUACCUCAAGAAAAAGCCCCGGCUAACUACGUG